rnacentral:tRNA from 1 species
CCGGCGUUAGCGCGGAGGUGGAGCGGUGGCCUUGCCCACUGGUCGCCGGUUCGAUUCCGGCACGUCGUG